CCGGAAGCAAAGACUCUAAGAUGAAAGAGCCACAUGAGGGAAGGAGCCUCGACCUACACCAGAGGUUCAUAAAGUGACAACACAGAUUUGAUCCUUUCUCUCCAGAAGGUCUCAGUCCAGGGGAACGUGGGUAGCCGAUUAAGCACUGAUCAGGAAUUUUGAAUUUGACCUGCUGUAAUGUCUAAGGAAAGGAGGAAAGUCCACAAGGGUUAGUUUCACUGAACUCGGAGCCACCAUUGCAAUGCACUGAUGGAGAUGUACGACAUGAGGAGAGGAGAAUCUACAGUGGGUGUUUGCUGAUCUGGGGGAAAUUUGCUUCCUGGGUGUUCAGAGUUGAGGCCUCUGAGUGGCAAGGAAUAGUGGAUCAAGGAGAGAAUGGAGGUCACCACUCUCUUGACCCCUCCAAACAUCCAAACCAAACAUCGGAGAGCUUGGGAAAGUGCCGGAGCCUUGGGAACCCAGUUAAAGCCCAGGUGGAACAAGUAGGGGCAGCCUGGCAUGGAUGCUCUCACUACAAGCAUCUCAGAUACUCUGCACUGAAUCUGGUCCUGGAAUCCUUCCCUCAGGACAGGGAUCUCCUUGGUCAGAAGACAUCAAGCCACAGCAAGGGGAUAACAGAUGCUGCUUGGCCUUCUCCUGGUCUGCCCUCCCUUGGUCUGCUUUUGUCUGAGCCCUGCCUCUUGGAUUGCCCUAACUGCUGCCCCUUGCACUCACCUCACUCUGUGUCUCUAGCAUGUGUGGGUUUCGUGCUCCUUAGAUGCACGGACAUCCUGGAAGUAUGUGUUUAUCUGACAACAAAAGUGAAAAAAAAUCAGAACAUAUAGUUGGAGUCAUGUAAAUUUAAAAAAAACAAAAUCUCCUGCUAGCAUUCUGACUACAUGGCAUCUUGAGUCCUCUGAAAGGAAAUUUACAUAGGGUGGGGGGUGGGCAGGGUGUGAAGAGAGGAAAAAGGAGAAGGGUGCAUUUCAGGACAAGUCUAUGAAGGCUGUGUCCACACAGACCAAGACCUGGCUUUGCUCCUAUUCGAUUUAUUGCAAUUCAUCAGAGCAGUCAAAAUUGGUAUGAAAAUCUGCAUUGGGGGGGAAUGCAUUCUGGAUGGGGGGGAUCCAGAAUGAACUAGCCACCAGGAAAGUGGGCAGAUUCCAUACUUUGAUUCUGGUUCCAUUUGGCCUUUGCUGCAUCAAUGACGGAGGCAGAUAUAUUAUUGAGGCCAUUCUCUUGUUAAUUCAUCGGUGACCUUUUCUACUUCCCACCUCCAAAAAGCUACUGAAAAGGAAGACCAUGAGGUACCCUGGCCUUCCAGGGAGGCAGCAGUGGCACAGGGUUAGGGAGGGGACUAUGGGCUCAGACCACCUGGAAGCAACCCUGGCUCCAGUACCCGCUAGCUGAGUGGCCUCGGGCAACCUUAACCAUGCACCACUCAGCCUCCUCAGCUGUAGAAGAAAGAUGGCAGUAAGGAGAACACCUGCCCAGGUGCCGUCGUGAGGAUUCGAUGAGAUGCUGCCCAUAAAGCACUUGAAACAGUACCCGGCACAUACAGAGUAGUCAUUUGAUACACAUAUUACCACUAUUUUAUACUGGCUUACAGGAAAAAUACUCCAUUCUCAAUAGACAACUGCUGCAUUUGGGAGAUUAAGAAGAGCCCAUGAAAGAUGAAUACAUGACAAAAAAUGUAAUGCAGGUUUACUAUAUAAAAUGUGGGGGUGUAGAAGACCAGAGAAGAAAAUUAAAUCCACUUAUAAUCUCACUGCCC
rnacentral:lncRNA from 1 species